AUGGCCUCCCUUGUCUUCCUCAUGGCGCUGCUGCUCUCAUGCAGCUCCAUGAGCAGCGCAGCACGGCACCUAGAGGAGGCCGCACCCAAGAAGGACUAUCCACCACAUCCGAUCGUCCCGGAGCUGCCGAAGCCCGAACUCCCGCCGCACCCUGCCGUGCCCGAGCUGCCCAAGCCUGAGCCACCGCACCCUCUCGUGCCCGAAGUGCCACACCCCGUGGUGCCCAAGGUGCCAAAGCACGAACUGCCGCCGCACCCUGCUGUGCCGGAGCUCCUGAAGCCAGAAGUGCCGCAUCCAGUUGUGCCCGAGGUAGCAAAGGAGCCCGAAGUGCCACAUCCCGUGGUGCCCGAGGUGCCAAAGAAGGAACUACCACCGCACCCUGCUGUGCCCAAGCUCCCGAAGCCUGAAGUGCCGCAUGUGCCGGAGGUGGCUAAGGAGCCUGAAGUGCCACACCCCGUCGUACCAAAGGUGCCAAAGAAGCACGAACUGCCGCACCCUGUCGUGCCGGAGGUGCCGAAGGAGCACGAGCUGCCGCACCCUGCCAUACCAGAGCUGCCGAAGCCUGAAAUGCCACACCAUGCCAUGCCAGAUGUGCCGAAGGAGCCCCAUGUGCCGCACCCUGAGGCGCUGAAGGAGCCCGAGUUACCGCACCCUAUUGUGCCAGAGGUCCCGAAGCACGAAAUGCCGCCGUUCCCCAAAGCCGAGCUGCCACCGAAACCCGAGUUCCAUUUUCCAAAGCCAGAGGCCAAGCCAUGA
rnacentral:rRNA from 1 species